UACAGAGGUCUCAAGCGUUGUUCGGAUUCAUUGGGCGUAAAGGGUGCGUAGGCGGCGCGGUAAGUCGGGUGUGAAAUCUCGGGGCUUAACUCCGAAACUGCAUUCGAUACUGCCGUGCUUGAGGACUGGAGAGGAGACUGGAAUUUACGGUGUAGCGGUGAAAUGCGUAGAUAUCGGGAAGAACACCCGUGGCGAAGGCGGUUCUCUGGGACGGUACUGACGCUGAGACGCGAAAGCGUGGGGAGCGAACAGG
rnacentral:rRNA from 1 species